rnacentral:lncRNA from 1 species
ACGCAGCUCUAAGAGCAUUAGCUCUGAUGGAGCUGAGCACUCACUGAAUACACGACGUACACAAACGCAGCCCAGACUCAAUUUUCCAGGAGCAAUUCCAUGUUUCAGCCACCAGCUCUGUAAUCUGUUCAGGGCUGGGCACGAGGGGAAAUUGUCUCUAGUGAAGACAGAUGUGAAGAGAUGUUAAACCAUGCUUUCAUCUCCUGUUUUCCACAGAUGUGGUCCUGGCUUGGAAGAGUCUUCAGAAAGCCAAAGAAGUGCUACAAAGGAUUGAAAACAAAUUGUAUCAUCAAACGUGGAGCCGUGCCAAAUUGCAGACAGCCAGAAGAAAGCUUUGGUGUGAAAAAAGCUUUGCUGUCUGUUGCUGUUCACAGAAUUUCACACUGCCCAAGGAGUCCUGCCUUGCUGGAGAGAGCUCGGGCAAAAGAUGCAGCACCAACGCCCAGCAGCUGCAGCAAAGGAAAAGCUGCUUGUGCCUUACCUCAGAG